rnacentral:rRNA from 1 species
AUGGCCGGUGUUGCAAGGGGGAUGGGGCGGGGUGAUGGCGACGGAGAUGACGAGCCGCGAACUGUAGGGAUGGCUAUCGUCGCCAGCGUUCGUGGCGCGGGCCGUGCGUCUAUCACCGUCGGUCAGGGCAGAGGGGAUGUGUUCCUUCAUGGCCAACCGAGCAGAUCCGGAGGCAGAGGGCAUGGCAAUGGCAGUGCGACCAUCCCCGUCGACAGUUCGUCAGGAGGAGGACAAUCCACAGGAUUCACGGAUGACAUCAAUCGGAGCGGAUAUGCCACCGGCGGGGCUCGUUAUGGUGGCAUAAGCAGAGGCCCGGAGGUUCCAUUGCCAAUUCCAACACCAAAGAAAGGUAAUGCAAAUGAUGUAACAAAUAUAUGGUGUCAUGGAAAAUCAUUGGAAGGAAAUGCAUGGUCUUGUUCUUAUUGUGGGGCUGUUAAACUUGGUGGGGGUGCAACCCGAUUCAAGCAGCAUCUAGCAGGACUGGCCCUGAGUGUUACUCUUGCCUGA